rnacentral:lncRNA from 1 species
GCUAUGUUGAAUAGGAGUAGUGAAAGAGGGCCUCUCUGAUUCGUUCCAGUUUUGGACAGAGAAUGUUUUCAGUUUUUCUUCAUUUAUUUCAGUGUCCAUGAUCAUAAUUCCAUUCUCAUCAGGAUUUAAUAAUUUGGGCUUUUCUCUUUUUCUUUGUUAGCUUGGCUAAAGUCUUAUCAAUAUUGUUUAUUUUUUCAAAAACCUAACUUUUUUUUCUUUGAGUUUUUUAUUUUUAUUUUUUGGUUUCACUUUUAUUAUAUUUGGCUCUGAUUUUUAUUGUUUUGCAUCUUCUACUGCUUUUGGUGCUUGUUUGUUUUUCUCUUUCUAGGGUUUUGAGAUGUAAAGUUAGAUUUUUUUUGGUGAUUUUCUGUUCUUUUAAUAAAUGAGCUCAAUGCAAUGAACUUUCCUCUUAGAACUGCCUUCAUAGAAUCUCAUGGAUUUUGGUAUGUUGGUUUACUAUUCUCAUUUACCUCUAAAUAUUUUUUUU